rnacentral:rRNA from 1 species
UACGGAGGGUGCAAGCGUUAUCCGGAUUUACUGGGUUUAAAGGGUGCGCAGGCGGAUAUGUAAGUCAGUGGUGAAAUCUUCGAGCUUAACUCGGAAACUGCCGUUGAUACUAUCUAUCUUGAAUACCGUGGAGGUGAGCGGAAUAUGUCAUGUAGCGGUGAAAUGCUUAGAUAUGACAUAGAACACCAAUUGCGAAGGCAGCUCGCUACACGAAUAUUGACGCUGAGGCACGAAAGCGUGGGGAUCAAACAGG